GUUUCGGUUGACGAUUUACAUGCAAAACACUUUGAAACGGUUGUUAACCAUAAGGUUCACAAGAGUUCUACCAUAACUUCAAAGAUUGCCAAUAAAAAUGAAACGUGUUUGUGUUUUGAUUUUGUUCGUCGCUGUUAAUGUUUUAGCAGAAGAUAAACUAGCGUUAUAUAAGAAGCAGCUUGUCAUCACAAGUAGACAAAUCGCGGAGGUGAAUUU